rnacentral:lncRNA from 1 species
AUUCUGAAUUUCAUAAAGAUUUUCAAUAGAGGCUUUCAAAGUCAUAAUUUGAGAUAUGUAUCUUCCACAUUGUAGCUCAUCUUAAAUCAUUACGAUUGAAAACACAUAUUUCAAACAUAUAAGAGCAUAUUCAGAAUAUUUGUAUUUAUUAUUGAGUUUUGAUACAAAAUGGAGGAUAUUUUAACAAGUAUUAGGAUAUUAUGUAUCAAAGUUAGGCAAGUAGAAAGAUAGAUCAAGAUCAAUUCAUUUUGCCUAAAUAGAGAUAUUGUGGAGUGAUCGAUUAAAACCCCGUUUGAUUUUGAUGAGCUCAAAGCAUUUGAGUAUAUCUUGUGAUUACUAAUGAAUUCAAUUGAGUGUUUCAGUGAAAAUCCUGUCCAAGUGUCUCUAGACUUGGUUCAUAGCAUUUUGGAUAAGUUAAGAAGUCUGCAUGAACCAAUGUCUGAGAUACGAGUCGACUCCAAGCGUAUCAAGGUCACUGGCACGAGCUCGAGUCGACUCCUGAUCAGUACGAGUCGACUCCGACUGAAAACAGACAGAAGGACAGAAGAGCAGUUUUUC